CUAAAACUUAUAAUUCCAUAAAACAUAAAUUCACAUAACCUAUUAAGUCAAUCUAUUAAUAGAUAAGUUAAUACUAGAAUGAGUAAUAAGAAAAAAUUCUCUAAAUAUGCAUGUAAAUUAGAACGAAAAACCACUAAUAAUUNNCGAACUAAAUAAAAAGAAAUACAAGUACUCACAAGAAAAACAUGUUAUAAAAAUCGUUAAACCAACACAGGAAUAUAAAAGAAAGAUUUAAAAUAUAAAAAGGAACUCGGCAAUCUUGAACUUCGCCUGUUUACCAAAAACAUCGCCUCUUGAUUACAAUAGGAGGUACUGCCUGCCCAGUGACAUCAGUUUAACGGCCGCGGUGUU
rnacentral:rRNA from 1 species